GGAAAGAUUUAUCGGUUUUGGAUGGACUCGCGGCCUAUCAGCUUGUUGGUGAGGUAAUGGCUCACCAAGGCGACGACGGGUAGCCGGCCUGAGAGGGUGACCGGCCACACUGGGACUGAGACACGGCCCAGACUCCUACGGGAGGCAGCAGUGGGGAAUAUUGCACAAUGGGCGCAAGCCUGAUGCAGCGACGCCGCGUGAGGGAUGACGGCCUUCGGGUUGUAAACCUCUUUCAGUAGGGAAGAAGCGAAAGUGACGGUACCUGCAGAAGAAGCACCGGCUAACUACGUGCCAGCAGCCGCGGUAAUACGUAGGGUGCGAGCGUUAUCCGGAAUUAUUGGGCGUAAAGAGCUCGUAGGCGGUUUGUCGCGUCUGUCGUGAAAGUCCGGGGCUUAACCCCGGAUCUGCGGUGGGUACGGGCAGACUAGAGUGCAGUAGGGGAGACUGGAAUUCCUGGUGUAGCGGUGGAAUGCGCAGAUAUCAGGAGGAAC
rnacentral:rRNA from 1 species